rnacentral:rRNA from 1 species
AGUGAACGCUGGCGGUAGGCCUAACACAUGCAAGUCGAACGGCAGCACAGUAAAACUUUCUCUCUGCGUGUCGAGUGUCGCACGGGUGAGGAAUACAUCUCAGUCUUCCCAUUCUUGUGGGGUAACGUAGGGAGACUUACGCUAUUACCGCAUACAACCUUCACGGGAAAGAGGGGGGUCUCUACACCUCUCGCGCUUUUGUGAGCCGAUGUCGGAUUAGCUAGUUGGCGGGGUAAUGGCCCACCAAGGCGACGAUCCGUAGCUGGUCUGAGAGGAUGAUCAGCCACACUGGAACUGAGACACGGUCCAGACUCCUACGGGAGGCAGCAGUGGGGAAUAUUGGACAAUGGGCGCAAGCCUGAUCCAGCCAUACCGCGUGGGUGAAGAAGGCCUUCGGGUUGUAAAGCCCUUUUGUUGGGAAAGAAAUGUUUCAGGUUAAUACCCUGGGAGGAUGACGGUACCCAAAGAAUAAGCACCGGCUAACUUCGUG